rnacentral:piRNA from 1 species
UCCAAAACUGUUUCUCAGCUCUGCUCUC